CCUACGGGUGGCAGCAGUGGGGAAUAUUGGGCAAUGGGCGCAAGCCUGACCCAGCAAUGCCGCGUGAAGGAAGAAGGCUUUCGGGUUGUAAACUUCUUUGACAGGGGAAGAGCAGAAGACGGUACCCUGAAAACAAGCCACGGCUAACUACGUGCCAGCAGCCGCGGUAAUACGUAGGUGGCAAGUGUUGUCCGGAUUUACUGGGUGUAAAGGGCGUGUAGCCGGGAAGGCAAGUCAGAGGUGAAAUCUGGAGGCUCAACCCCUUCCCGCCAUUGAAACUGGCGCUCUGGAGUGGAAGAGAAGUAUGCGGAAUGCGUGGUGUAGCGGUGAAAUGCAUAGAUAUCACGCAGAACCCCGAUUGCGAAGGCAGCAUGCCGGCUUCCGACUGACGCUGAAGCACGAAAGCGUGGGGAUCGAACAGGAUUAGAUACCCCUGUAGUC
rnacentral:rRNA from 1 species